rnacentral:rRNA from 1 species
UCAAAGGUUCCCUCAGAAUGGUUGGAAAUCAUUCAUAGAGUGUAAAGGCAUAAGGGAGCUUGACUGCGAGACCUACAAGUCGAGCAGGGUCGAAAGACGGACUUAGUGAUCCGGUGGUUCCGCAUGGAAGGGCCAUCGCUCAACGGAUAAAAGCUACCCCGGGGAUAACAGGCUUAUCUCCCCCAAGAGUUCACAUCGACGGGGAGGUUUGGCACCUCGAUGUCGGCUCAUCGCAUCCUGGGGCUGUAGUCGGUCCCAAGGGUUGGGCUGUUCGCCCAUUAAAGCGGUACGCGAGCUGGGUUCAGAACGUCGUGAGACAGUUCGGUCCCUAUCCGUCGUGGGCGUAGGAAAUUUGAGAGGAGCUGUCCUUAGUACGAGAGGACCGGGAUGGACAUACCUCUGGUGUACCAGUUGUCGUGCCAACGGCAUAGCUGGGUAGCUAUGUGUGGACGGGAUAAGUGCUGAAAGCAUCUAAGCAUGAAGCCCCCCUCAAGAUGAGAUUUCCCAACUUCGGUUAUAAGAUCCCUCAAAGAUGAUGAGGUUAAUAGGUUCGAGGUGGAAGCAUGGUGACAUGUGGAGCUGACGAAUACUAAUCGAUCGAAGACUUAAUCAAAA